rnacentral:tRNA from 1 species
GAGGGUAUAACUCAGUGGUAGAGCGUGUGCUCAGCAUGCAUGAGGUCCUGGGUUCAAUCCCCAGUACCUUCA